AGCUUUAUAUUCAUUAAUGAUACAAGAUUGCAAAUCUUGAGGUGGAAUAAUCCUAAGGCUU
rnacentral:tRNA from 1 species